AGUAGUUGACUCCGUGGCUCGAGGACGACGCUGGCGGCGUGCUUAACACAUGCAAGUCGAACGGGGACUUCGGUCCUAGUGGCAAACGGGUGAGUAACGCGUAGGCAAUCUGCCGCAAAGAUGGGGACAACAGUCCGAAAGGGCUGCUAAUACCGAAUGUUAUAUAGGUGCCGCAUGGUAUUUAUAUUAAAGAUUUAUCGCUUUGCGAGGAGCCUGCGUCCGAUUAGGUAGUUGGUAAGGUAACGGCUUACCAAGCCGACGAUCGGUAACCGGUCUGAGAGGAUGAACGGUCACAUUGGAACUGAGAGACGGUCCAGACUCC
rnacentral:rRNA from 1 species